GAUCGCCAGCACCCCCAACCCCUCACUUCAACGUGAGCAGAAGAGCCGGUCUGGUGCUGAGACCCGGAUGGGAACGCACCUACAGCCAGAAGUCAAUUUCUCCAAUGGAAAUGGAGAAAUCUGCACUUGGAAUGGGAUAUUGUACAGUGUGGACACUUCUUCCUCCCACAACUGAUUUUACAUACCUAACAUCACCAACUUCACAGCAGUUACGUUGUGAGUAUUUUGAGAGGAAGACUAAGACAAAUGGCCCACUGAACUGCAGUUAACAUUUCCUUAUCCCAACGUAAGUGAACUUUUUUUUCCCCCUAAGAAUGGAAAAAAAAAAAAAAAAAGGUAAACAGGAUCUUUCAGAGGGGAAAAGGGCCGUGUGUUAAAAAGUUUUCUCGACCAAAGUACAUCAGGGACCAAAACUGGGGCCAAGAGGGAAAAUGGAACUUCAACGUGUUUUGUCUUUUAACGGAACUUAUGCUUGUAAAACACAUCGGAAGUACAAGUGUUUGGUUCUGCAAGUCA